rnacentral:rRNA from 1 species
GACGAACCGUGCAAACGUUGUUCGGAUUCACUGGGCUUAAAGCGCACGUAGGCGGAUACUUAAGUCAGGGGUGAAAUCCCGGGGCUCAACCCCGGAACUGCCUUUGAUACUGGGUAUCUCGAGUCCGGAAGAGGUGAGUGGAAUUCCGAGUGUAGAGGUGAAAUUCGUAGAUAUUCGGAGGAACACCAGUGGCGAAGGCGGCUCACUGGUCCGGUACUGACGCUGAGGUGCGAAAGCGUGGGGAGCAAACAGG